rnacentral:lncRNA from 1 species
ACCAAACUGGAGACAGUCCUGGCUCUGAGGAAACAAGAAGGAAGGAGGGUGAAAGGAAGGUCCACCUGCACACAAAGGAAAGAUGAAAAAGAAUCACCUACCAUGGGACCUGGCAAAGUACUUCAGAACUUUUAUUCCUUCCAGAAGCAGCUUUCCAAAGUUUGUACCUUUCUGGCUGGAACUUUCUCACAAACACAUCCAUGGAGAUCUUCACCAUGUCCUUUCUACAGGAGCACUGUCAGCAGGAACCAGAAGAGCACCAG